rnacentral:lncRNA from 1 species
CUGUGCCUCCGGAGCCCGGCGCACCGAGCCGGCCCUGCAGCGGGGUCUUCGCGCGCCUCGCCCGUUCUGGCGUCGCCCGCUCGCUGCGGCUCGGGGAGCGAGGCGCAUCCGGCGAGCUACCAGAGUCGCGGCGUCCCGAGCGCCCGCCGGCCCCAGGUCCACCGUGGCUGGCCUGGGAGUCCUGAGGGCGAGACGGCUGCACCUCCGGUGCCGGCUUUGAGUUCCGAGAAUGGCUGGGGACCCCGGAGCUCGGGGCGGGGUGGGGGAGAAUUGCUGCAGCCCUUGGCUGGAGUACCCGCCGGAUCGAACCCCGGGAAAGGGAAGCAAAUGCAUGGAACCUCCGCAAAACUGGACGAGAAUCCAUCUUCCACUGGAGCUGGGAAUAGACUUUGUAAAAGAUCUUAUGUAAUGGAGUCUCGGGAAGCUCGAGACGCCUCCAGCGAAGCUGCUGGUGAAUUAAUUAAGUGCUUUAAAUCGUCUAGGUAAAUAUUCCGGGGCGGGGGGACGACUGUUGGGGGCCUCCGUAGCUUGAGUUGCAUUUUAACUGCCUACAUCUUGUCUGUUUCGUCGCUCUGCCGUCUGUGCCGAGGUACUACAUUAUCGGAGGGGGCGAGUGGAAAGUGGAGGUGAAUUUUUCUCCCUUGAGUAAGGCUGAACACUGGAUUACGACAAGUCUUGACAUGAUUGGACCUGCGUAUUUUAUGCAUCAUUAAUGUCAUCUCACAUUGCCCCUUUCCCAAGCUCGUGGACAGAUGUGGUGGGUUUUCAAUUUUUCAUUUAUUGUGAACCUACUAAUAAAGAAGAUCUGGGGUAAAUAUUCUUUGUGUUAAACCAGGUAAAGAAACAGCUGAAGUCAUGCAUCCUUGUUUCUUUUAUGUAGCUGUCAGAAAAGGUUCUCAAAAUGAUUGGCUCUGUAAUGGCCCACCAUUACAGGAUGUGUUACAUGGUCAAUAAAAUUAGUGAAUUAAUAAAAAGUGAUUUGGGUCAGUGUGAAAAAUAAAACCAGAUCUUGUGGCAGGUGUGAGAUGGGAAUGGCCAGCUGACCUUUUGAUCCAAGAUGGUCUGGUUUCAGGAAGGUGGCUCUGCCAAAUGGAUCUGAAAAUCGUGACUAAUGAACCCAAAGUUAAUAGCAGGGCAGUGUAAGGAGAAAGGAAACAAAGGUGCCUUUGAAAUCCUCUGUUUGCGGAACAAAUUUAUACUUAUUAUAAAUAUUUUGGUUUAACCACUCUAAUCCUGAACGGAAAAACCAAAGUUACCAGUGGAAUAUUCCCCAGUCACUGGCAUCAGAAAACUAAACAACAUUUCUACAGUCAUAUUUCUUUGUCUUGUAGAGGGGAAGAGGCUCAUUAAUUAUAGCUGAUUAUCAGAGGGUGAUGGAGAAAACGAUCAACAGUGGAAAGGGGGAGUGAGUGGUCCCAUUUUCUGGAGGCAUUUUGCUUUUUGGGGCCACUCCUGUGGCUUAUGAGCGUUCCCAGGCCAGGGGUCUAAUUGGCGCUACAGCUGCUGGCCCACACCACAGCCAUAGCAACUGGGGAUCCCAGACGCAUCUGCAACCUAUACCACAGCUUAAGGCAACGCCAGAUCCCUGGUCCACUGAGUGAGGCCAGGGAUCAAACCUGCAUCUUCAUGGAUACUAGUCAUAUUUGUUUCCGUUGUGCCACAACGGGCACUCAUUCUGGAAGCAUUUAAGGAGCUGUUGAGAUGACUAGUUUCUAGGAAUGUUGUAGACACUAUACUUGUGGUUGUGUAGGAAGUAAGGUUAGACGAUAUCCAAGGGACCUCAUACCCUAAGGUUCUAUAAGUAUUAAGUAGUAAAAUCAUUUAAAAUAUGCUAGAUAUUCUAUUAGCAAAAUUCAAGAAAAAUAAAACACACAACAUCGUUACACAUAAUUGUUUCUUGCACCCCAACAAGGCACCAGCACUUCCCUGUGGGGUCUGCCAACAAACUGUCAUCAUUGAGCUGUGUUAAAAGGCCCUUUCCACUCUUGCAGAGGAGGUUAUCUAUAUUUCUGUUCAAAUGCAAGUAUAAAGACAUUAUUAAAAUGUAGCAGAUAACACUGUAGGAUUCAGGGGGAAAAGCCAAGGUCAGGUGCUAGAAAAAAAUACAGAUGUGAAAAAGCCACUGUAGGUUGAAAAGAGAGUAAUAAUCAUUGCCAAGAUCUUGCUUUUUUGUUUAUUUUUAAAGGCAAUAUAUUAAAGAUUAGGGAAAACCAAAGAUUGAACAUAAUCAAGGGUCAAUGCGGAGAAUCCAUGUUCCUGGGAUUCCAGAGGUAGAACCUCCUAGAAGAUAGAUAGACACAAGGUGAUAAAGUCUGACUUCUCAUGGGAAUUCAAGUCAAACUUAGACCUAGGUUGAGUGUAACACCUGAGAAAAUUCAAGCUACAUGUGAUUCUUUGCCAUAGAAUUAACUGAGAAACAAAAGAAAAAACAAGAAUAGUUCCUUGAAGCCUAUAACUAGUGGCAAAUAAGAAACCUCCAAGGGCCUGGCAGCUUAUCUGAAACCAGUGUGUGAAGUAGGAGGUUACUUAUGAAAGAGUUGUUUACUCUCUCUGCUCCAGGAUGUGCCAUAAGGUGGCCAGAAGCCAAGGCCAUGAGAUUGGGGUUCAAACACAGAAGGAUUUCCUCAUCUUCAGUCAUAGGCUAAAGAUACAAAAAAGAGGUUGGGUGGACCCCACAUGGUGACAACUAGGGUUUAAGGGAGAAAGGGGACUGAGAGCGAUUACAUAGACCCUGAAAGGCACAUACAAGUGUAAAACUUAGUGUCAUACAUGGAAUAUGAUUUAAUGCCUCCUCUUCUGAGAAGUGUCUCCAGCUUAUUCCCUUAGCCAUUCUAUGGCAUUUGGUAAGUACCUCUGCUUAUAGCAUUUAUGUUAUGUUAUUUAUGUUAUAUUUAUGUUAUAUUACAAAUGUUAUGUAUAUAUAUAUAUAUAAAAUAUAUAAAUAAAUAUGUUGUAUUAUAAACCUUUUUUUAAAUAGCUCAGAUUGAUCCCAUUAGAUUGUCCGCUCAUUGGAGGGGCCAGGACUUAUAAAAAUGCAUGCAUGGGAGUUCCCUUGUGGCACAGUGGAAACGAAUCCAAUUAGUUUCCGUGAGGAUGAGGGUUCAAUCCUUAGCCUUGCUCAGUGGGUCAGGGAUCCAGUGUUGCUGUGAGCUGUGGAUCCUGAGUUGUUGUAGCUCCAAUUUGACGCCUAGCCUGGGAACUUCCAUAU